rnacentral:tRNA from 1 species
GCGGAGCCGUGGGUGAGCCCGGGCGCACCACGCCCUUCCGCCGCGCGCUGAUCGGCCUCACCGGCUCCGGGCCGAUGACUCCAUG